AGAGUUUGAUCCUGGCUCAGAACGAACGCUGGCGGCGUGGAUAAGACAUGCAAGUCGAACGCUGACAUUCAGGUAGCAAUAUUUGGAUGUCGGAGUGGCGCAAGGGUGCGUAACACGUGGGUAAUUUGCCGUAAAGUCUGGGAUAACUUGCUGAAAAGGCGAGCUAAUACCGGAUGUGAAUUCUUGAAGGCAUCUUUAGGAAUUCAAAGUUGGGGACCGCAAGGCCUGACGCUUUACGAUAAGCCCGCGGCCUAUCAGCUAGUUGGUGAGGUAACGGCUCACCAAGGCUAAGACGGGUAGCUGGUCUGAGAGGACGACCAGCCUCACUGGAACUGAGACACGGUCCAGACACCUACGGGUGGCAGCAGUCGAGAAUUUUUCUCAAUGGGCGAAAGCCUGAAGGAGCGACGCCGCGUGGGGGAUGAAUGGCUUCGGCCCGUAAACCCCUGUCAUUUGUGAACAAAUUGCUUCACCUAACACGUGAAGCAUUGAUUGUAACGGAAGAGGAAGGGACGGCUAACUCUGUGCCAGCAGCCGCGGUAAUACAGAGGUCCCAAGCGUUGUUCGGAUUCACUGGGCGUAAAGGGUGCGUAGGCGGUUUGAUAAGUCUGAUGUGAAAUCCCGCAGCUUAACUGCGGAACUGCAUUGGAAACUAUUUGACUAGAGGAAUGGAGGGGAGACUGGAAUACUUGGUGUAGCAGUGAAAUGCGUAGAUAUCAAGUGGAACACCAGUGGCGAAGGCGAGUCUCUGGACAUUUCCUGACGCUGAGGCACGAAAGCCAGGGGAGCAAACGGGAUUAGAUACCCCAGUAGUCC
rnacentral:rRNA from 1 species